rnacentral:rRNA from 1 species
GUGGGGAAUAUUGGACAAUGGGCGCAAGCCUGAUCCAGCCAUGCCGCGUGAGUGAUGAAGGCCUUAGGGUUGUAAAGCUCUUUCAGUAGGGAAGAUAAUGACGGUACCUACAGAAGAAGCCCCGGCUAACUUCGUGCCAGCAGCCGCGGUAAUACGAAGGGGGCUAGCGUUGUUCGGAUUUACUGGGCGUAAAGCGCACGUAGGCGGAUUGGUCAGUUAGAGGUGAAAUCCCGAAGCUCAACUUCGGAACUGCCUUUAAUACUGCCAGUCUCGAGUCCGGAAGAGGUGAGUGGAACUCCUAGUGUAGAGGUGGAAUUCGUAGAUAUUAGGAAGAACACCAGUGGCGAAGGCGGCUCACUGGUCCGGUACUGACGCUGAGGUGCGAAAGCGUGGGGAGCAAACAGGAUUAGAUACCCUAGUAGUCC